rnacentral:lncRNA from 1 species
CCCCUCCCCAUUUUCUUCUCUCCCUGCCUCUGCUCCUCUCGGUUUGCGCAGAAAACCACCGCCGGCGACCUCCGCGCGAAGCCGCCGUUACGAGCCGUCCUCGCUGUUUUUGUCACGCCACUGAGCUUCCUCUCCCUCCCCGCAUUCUCCUCAACCGAAUCCAUUGUAUUUUCGUGCCUCCUAGCCCCCUGGCCGCGUGCUCCGGCGAGCUCCAUGGCCGCCGGCCAUGGAGCGGGCCGCGCGUGCUCUCCCCGGCCGCGCAAAGGAUGGAACCGAGUUCGCCGCGACCUCCUCUCUCUCCUAGUGUAGUUAGUUCACGAAAUCGUGCUCCGUAGCGCCUGCGUGGGCUUCUCCGGAGAGCUUGCUCGCCGCGGCCA